rnacentral:lncRNA from 1 species
CAUACCUGGGUCUUUAGAAGACUCAAGUUUUUAACCAUUUUGGUCCAAGGGGGAAAAAAGGCCACUCCUGGGACACUUGGCGCCUGUGCUCACAGGUCUGGUGGCUUGCUCGGCCCCUCCCCCCUGCUGGGGCUGAACCGGUGCCACCUCAGAAGCCAGACUGCAUCCUGCCUACCCUGUGCCUCUUCUCAUGAAGAGGACAGGACCCUCUGUGAUCUAAGCCGUAUCCUCUCUGCCCUCAACGCCUCACAUGCCCUCCCUUGAAGACAGUGGGAAGUCAGCUACCAUCCUGUCUCAAGAAGAGGCCUGAGCAGCAAGGAGCUUGCUAUGUCUUGGGUGUGGUUUUUCUACCAAAGGUUCAUGUAGAAGAUUGAUCCACAGUGUGGUGAUGUUAAAAAGUGGUGGGAUCUUGCCAGGAGUGGUGGGGGAGGCCUGUAAUCGUAGCACCUGGGAGGCCGAGGCAGGAGCAUUGCAAAUUCAAGCCCAAUCUGGGCAACUUAUUGACCUAGCAAGACCCUGUCUAAAAAUAAAAAAUUUUUUUAAAUGUCUG